rnacentral:rRNA from 1 species
CCAUCUAAAGCUAAAUAUUGGCGAGAGACCGAUAGCGAACAAGUACCGUGAGGGAAAGAUGAAAAGCACUUUGGAAAGAGAGUUAACAGUAC